CGCCUUGCCAGCCCGCUCAGAACUUAAGGAAUUGACGGGGCCCGCACAAGCGGUGGAGCAUGUGGUUUAAUUCGAUGAUACGCGAGGAACCUUACCUGGGCUCAAAUGUAUGUUGACGUAUUCUGAAAGGGAUACUUCUUCGGACAAUAUACAAGGUGCUGCAUGGUUGUCGUCAGCUCGUGCCGUGAGGUGUCGGGUUAAGUCCCAUAACGAGCGCAACCCUACCUUUAGUUGCCAUCAGGUAAUGCUGGGGACUCUAAAGGAACUGCCUACGCAAGUAGUGAGGAAGGCGGGGAUGACGUCAAAUCAGCACGGCCCUUACGUCCAGGGCUACACACGUGCUACAAUGGCCGAUACAGAGGGCAGCUACCUGGUGACAGGAUGCAAAUCUCCAAAGUCGGUCUCAGUUCGGAUCGGAGUCUGCAACCCGACUCCGUGAAGUUGGAUUCGCUAGUAAUCGCGCAUCAGCCAUGGCGCGGUGAAUACGUUCCCGGGCCUU
rnacentral:rRNA from 1 species